AGCGAUGUGAUGCUAAUCUCAAAAAGCCGAUCGUAGUCCGGAUUGGAGUCUGCAACUCGACUCCAUGAAGUCGGAAUCGCUAGUAAUCGCGGAUCAGAAUGCCGCGGUGAAUACGUUCCCGGGCCUUGUACACACCGCCCGUCACACCAUGGGAGUUUGUUGCACCAGAAGUAGGUAGUCUAACCGCAAGGAGGACGCUUACCACGGUGUGGCC
rnacentral:rRNA from 1 species